AUUUCGCUCAAAUCGACUACUGACUAGUAGUGUCAAGUGGGUAAUACCAAAGCUCAGAUAAGAAUGGAUUUGCUGUGGAUAAUUUCCAUCUCACUCAGGUAUUUGGUUGGCUCCAGCAUGUUUUGUUCAGCCUUUUACUAAUGCCUUCAUCUUUGCACUGAGUAUCCACAUUUCUCUCAAGCUGCUAAAAUUGAUUUAAAGCUGAAAAGAUAAGAAAACGGACAAGACAUAUUUUCAAAUUGCAAUUGAAGGAAAAUACCACAUCUUUUCAAAGGAACCACCUCCUGCCUGUUUGUCUGCAGCCAAAGCUUUGCAGUGAGGAGAAAAUGCAGCACAGCCAGGAGUGUCCUGGGCUCCAGAAAGCAUUUCAGCCUGUGGAGAUGAUCAAAGGAGCUUCACUAAAGCUAAUAGAUGAAAUGUUUCUGUAAAGCUGUUUUACAGGUCAUAAACCUUUUCCCAGGUCUGAAAAUCCUGUUGGUAAAGAAGAGUGGAGAUGCCUGCACUGAUGUAACCAAAGAGCAAGUGUGGCUGUUGUGAGAACUGUACAUUGCCAAGUGUUUUUCUGGAAGAAGCAUCUUCUUGUGAUCAGGGCUGGUCAGGGAAAAGUUUUUAAGACCAUCUACAGCAGCUUGUGUCGUGCAUUGCAAUUUUCUCAGCUACGUGAUGGACUUUGUGCAGCUUUUAAAGGACAACAUGUCAUGGUACAGAAAAUUCUCUCAGUCUGUGAUUAGGAGAUGACUGAAUUCCCAGAGCAUGAGCCACACUUAGGGCUGUCACCUUCCACUUGUGAAGCUACAGGAAAAAAGACCUGGUGUAGUCAUGAUCCAGUUCAAAAGGCACA